GUAGCUCAGUGGUAGAAUGUUUGCCUCACAUGCAAGAGGCUCUGGGUUCAAUCCCUAGC
rnacentral:tRNA from 1 species